GUGCUUACUUCGGCAGCACACGUACUAAAAUUGGAAGGUUACAGAGAAGAUUAGCAUGGCCCAUGUGCAAGGAUGACAUGCAAAUUCGUGAAGGGCUCCAUAUUUUU